UGGCUUAGGUGGUAAAGAGUCUGCCUGCAACGCAGAAGACCAGGGUUCGAUCCCUG
rnacentral:tRNA from 1 species